rnacentral:sRNA from 1 species
GCUGGGUGCGGUGGCACACACCUGUAAUCCCAGUGGCUCAGGAGGCUGAGACAGGAGGAUCAUAAGUUCAAAGCCAGCCUCAGCAAAAGAGAGGUGCUAAGUAACUCAGUGAGACCCUGUCUCUA